ensembl:lncRNA
UCAUUCUCCCUGCCCUUAGAACAGGAGCUCGGGGCGAGCUUCUGCCGGAGCCCCUGGGUUUCGGGCCCAAGCGUCCGUCUUCCACUGAAGGGCAAGGACUGCACCUACAGUGUGCCAGGAGGUGCUCAGCGUUUGAGGGAAUCAAAACGUGGUGCCGCCUACAAGUUGAACAGAAGGGAAGACAGUGAAUUUGGGAAGAAGGAGGCAUAGUAUGGGGUCAGGUGUCUGCCAUAGUAGCUUAAGGACAUUCCCGCGGCUGUAAAGGAAAUCCAGUUGGAGUGGUGCACGUGGAGCGAGGGAACACGCACAGGGGCACAAGGGUGGCACGUUGAAAGAAAAGUAGCUUCGCAAGGACAAACCUGUUGGGUUCAUCGGAAGCCAGGGCAAGCUGCAGAUACAAAGUCAUGUUCCCCGUGAAGAUGCAUCUAUCCCAGAGUUGAAAAGCAUCUGGAAUCAGAAUCCUCCGAAGAGCUGGUUUUGAAGAAUAAUACUGUCUCCUUUUCCUGACUAUUUGGAUGGCAGCUGUGCCUGCCUUGGAGUUGGCUUGCCUGCAGCUCAGCCCAAGGUCUCUUGUCCUCACUGGUCAGUCAGCUUUCAGAUUGGCACUGAUCUCAGGUGUUCUCUUCUCUGUGCCACAUGGGGGUAAAUAUCCCUUUCACGGAGCCCAGUGAGGAUCACAGGCAAGUGUCCAACCAGUGGUUCUCAGAAAACACGACUGCCAUCAUGAGGAGACAUGGUGGAAAGCAAAGCCUUACGAUGGGUAACACACGUGUGGAACGCAAGCAUGUUGAACCAGGCUGAGGACAUGCUCUUCCCUAAGAAGACUUCUCUGAAUUCCUCCCUCUCAUUCAUACAUCCUUCUCCCGCUACAACAUUUAUAGAACUCAGACAGUCGUCAUUCAGUGCCUGACACGUGCAAGGUUCUUUUUGGAAUGCAGGGGACAGAGACAUUCUACACUGAUGGAGCCCAGAGUCAUGGAAUCUUCCGGUCUACAAAGCUUAUUAACUGCUGAUCGAUCACUAUAGCAACUGAAAUGAAAUAGGAAGCAAGAAGGCAGGGCAAUAUAACCAACUCAAAUAAGAGUUAAAAAUAAGCAAUUCUGAGCACUAGCCUUCAGGUGUUCCAAACCGUCGCACUGGGCUGGGGACAGAGAUGGACAAGGCCGGGCUGGGCUUCAUGCAGUUGUCAAAGCUGGAGACUGUAGAAUCCUAGAACUGAAAGGCAGUUUGUGUCCCAUCUCAUGUCCACUUUUAGCCUUUAAGAAAGUGAAAGAGUACACGCUUUAGAAAUGAGGAAUGCAUGGUGUCUUACUAAUGAUGUCUGGGGACACAGUAUCUGCUGUGCCUCUCUUGGUCAGGUCCAUGCGUCUCUCUUUCUGUGAAGUCUCUUGCCUCACUUAAGUCCAUAUUCUCCUACUGUGUCCACCCAUCAGACAGACCACUUGCCUGACGCACUGUUUCCCAAGCUGACUGUGACACUGCCAGGAGGAGCCAGAGCCUGCUGCAAUGGUACAAAUGGCCGUGACUUACUCAUGCCCCGACUCAGCUCUUCCGUUAGCACUGGUCUCUGAAGGCUGCCAGUAGAAAGCCCCUGUAGUAACACAGCCAAGCCAACUGCUCCCGUGCAUCUGAGCCCUUGAUGAAGGCCCCUCCUCUUCCCUAGAGGGAGGGAAGAAUUGUUGGUUUUCUCUUUCAAUUAUUUUUCCAGUCUAUUAAAUUGUCACAAUCCCUGUGUCUCAGUGAGAGGCGAUGUCAUUUUUGCUCAUCUCCUGGAGACCAGGAACAGUGAUGCCAGAGGACAUAAUUUUUGUGUCUCUGUCACCACCGUUGGAGAAAAGAAGAUGACAACAGAAAAGCGCAAAGGCAGUAGAUAUCUUGGAGAGGGUUAUGAGACACGCAACGAGCAUAACUAUGAUGUUUAUGCCAUCGGGUUAUAUGAAAUAUACAUUUGUAAUCCACUAAGCAGUUUAUCUUUUCAUGCAUCUUAGUUUUCCAGGAUAAUUACCUUCAUGACUGUCCCAUCCCAUGUUCCAGGCAAAGUGUGUGCAAAAUACACAGAUCUGUGUGCCCUGUUUGAAAACACGGCAGAGGAUGGGGGAUUAACUCAAAUUUUAGAAAAACAUGCUGUAGACAAUGAAUUCAGGAUAUGGGCUGAAAGUUUCUUUUAUGUUGUUAGCAAAACUGUUAAACUGUUUUGUCUUUGAACAACAGCAGCAGCUAAUUGAGCCUUCAUCCUGUGUUAGGUACUAUAGCAAGUUCUUUUCAAGGACCCCGGAAGUUUAGAGAGGUUGAAUAACUCACCCACAGAUGUGCAGCAGGCUGAGAGUCAACCUUGAGUCUUAGCUCAGAUCUCCUUUCUUGAUAGGAAACUUCUGCAGUUUUAUCCAAGACCUGCCCCUUCUCCAGUACCUGAGACCCUUCCCUCUUGCCUAAGAAGCAUGCAAGUCCAGUAGUUCUUCCCAUCUGUCCUGAAACAUUCAUUUCCUUUUGUCUGUUAGGUAUUUUCCCUUAGCAGGGACAAUGCUGCUGUUUCACUCAUCUUGAAGAACCUCUCACUGUCUCCAGUCCUUCUCCCUGCUGCCCUCUGAUUCUCUGCAGGACCCACCCUGAUUAGGUUCUCACCCACCAUCUUGAAUGUUAUUCUUCUCACAAUCACUUUCUGCAGUGCAGCAUAGCAGAUGAUAUAGAUACUCCCUUUCUCUUGAAAUAUUGCCUACCCUUGGCUGAUAUAAAUAACCCUUCUUCAUUGUCCACUUUGUCACAUUAUCCCUGUAUGGUUUAUUGUCUUCUUGACAUCUUCUUUCUGAUGAAGCAAUACACAGUUUACUUCUCUAUUUCUCUUUUCUAUCUGCACUCAUUUUUUAUGACAUUAACGUAUUUCUUUGGACUGCCAAUAGUUUUAUCAGACACAUACAUCAAACGGAUCUAGUAUACCCUUCCCUUCUCGGCCAUAUCUGACCCGUCUAUAAUUGUCCACAUCUCAGUUGAUGGCAACUCUGUCCUUUCACUUGGUUAAGACAAAUCCAUAAAGUCAUUUUUGGUUCUCCUGUUUCUCCCAUAUUUGACAUCUAAUCUUCCAAAAAAUCAUAUCGGCUCCAUUUUCAGCAUAUAGCUAGACACUUGCUACUAUGCACCACCUCUCCUGAUCCCGGCCUAAUCCCUGUCAGCAUCAUAUCUUGCCCGGGUUGUUACAGUUGCCUCCUACAGGCCAGUCUGCUUCUAUGCUCGUUUUUUACAUCCUAGGUUCAAAAUAUCAGUGAUACUUUAAAUUUGCCAAUCAAAUGAUGUCAACAGCUCUGUUUAAAACACUGUAGCGACUGUCCAUCUAACUCAGAAACACAAACUCCUUAUGAAGAUGGAUAAAGCCCUCCAUGAUGUGUACCAUUUUCCUCCACAACUCUGAACUUACCUCUCACCCACUCUGUUUGGGACACAGCAGCCCUCUCGCUAGGCCUUUUGGCUGUUCUCUCUGCUUGGAAUCCUCAUUGUCCACAUACACAUAUUGUUUACUCCCAUUUCCUCCAGAUUUCUCCACAUAUGUCUCUUUGCCUAACUACUUCAUUUACAAUUCAACCAUCCCUCACAUAUUCAUGCGCUACUCAGUCUCCUUCUGUACACUGUUUGCUCCACAUCGUAUAUUGUCCUUUAACAUACUCUAAAAUUUUAUUGUGUAUUUUGUUUAAAAUCUGCUCCCUCCACUAGGAUACAUAUUCCUUGGAAAGAGGACUGUUUUCUUUACUGAUGCAUCAUGGGACUUAUGUAGUGCUGAGUACUUUGGCUAAAGAGACUGGUUCUCAAAUGAAUGAAUAAACCAAU